rnacentral:lncRNA from 1 species
UUGGUCUUAAGCUGUGAUGCUUUUUUUUGUGUAGCUUUCCUUACCCUGAUGAUUGGCUGAUGUGUCCCUUUACAGGGCUGAUGCUCUUCUUUCACCUUCCCAGAGUGUUGUGUCUGAAUUUUGAGAAGAAUAGUAAGCUGCCACAGGAACUGGACAGAAAAUCACCAGUUAUAACUGCUGCAAAAGGAAGGAACCAAGGCACUUUUGUACUGCCAACCAAAUGUUGUAAGGAACUGAACCCAAUUCCUUCCUGUUGCUGCCUGCAUGGUAUGGCUGCCUGGAGAAAGGAGAGAUUGCAGGUGAGCCAGCCACUGACCCUACUUUCCCUGUUGCGCACGGGCCACCGCUGAGCAGGCUUCAAGCCCUUCUCUGUGCAGGUGCACUUGGUAGCAGCUGAUGCAAGGGGACAGAUGCUGGGAACCGAUUAUGCUGCCAUGUGCCAAACACUAAUAAUCUCUUAUCCACAUUCAGACAGCAGAUAUUAGUAAUUUUAGUUUUGGCGUUACAUUAUGCUAUUUGCAGAUGCCUGAAAUUUUUUGUCAUAAUCACCUGGUAAACUGCACUAUAGAAUGUUUUUCUCAUCUUCUCUCCUGUCACAUUAAGACAGAAAAUAAGUAAGGUGAAGAAAUAGGAAUUUCCCGUUCAAAGAACAGAAGCUUGGAGUUGGAAAUGCAAAGAGAAACAUGUGUUGUGAACAGGAGGGACUUAAAGCUGGUGGCUGCUCUGUGAGCAAUACAAGGUCUCAGGGUACUUCCUAGUGAACAGAUGUUGUGCUCCUAAAAUGAGCAUGGCCACAAUUAGUAGACAUGUUGGUAGUCUAGUAGAAUGGUCAGGGAAUACUUAUGUAGAUAGGUGAUCAGUUCAGAUCAUUAAUGGUUUUAUUAAUAAUGUAGGAUUUGCUGUGUUGAACAGCAAAGUGCAGAAACACUGUGACAAAAAAGCACACAAGACUUGAUAUGGCCACUGAUGUUGCAGAGCUUGCUUUGUAAGGCCUUAAUUCUUUGGUACUACUAAAUGAUUGUAAUGCAAAGGGAAAAGUGAAAAUCUUAUGUAUAACACAGGUAGCAGAUAACACUAGUAAAAAUCAGACUUCAGAAAAAA